GGCCAAAGACUGAAGGCACCACAGGGAAUGAGCUCAGGGCUUGCUCUAGAAGAGACCUCUUUAGUUAAGGAGUUAAGCUGGUCACUCUGAACUGUCCUCCCCAGGAAGCAGCCUCUGACAUGGCAAAUAACACACCAUAAAACUGAAAUGAAGGCAGAGAGUUUCAAACCACCUUGAGAACAGCUUCCAAUGACC